rnacentral:pre_miRNA from 1 species
ACUGGAAUUGCUGGGUCAUAUGGUAGUUCUAUUUUUAGUUUUUUGAGGAACUGCCACACUGUUUUCCAUAAUGGCUGUGCCAUUUUGCAUUCCCACCAGCAAU